rnacentral:lncRNA from 1 species
CUGCUUCCUAUUCAUCCCACUCUGUUUUCCAAAGCAACAUCGCCAGGGCAGACAUCUAAUUCUACAGCAGCAACUGGGUCUCGGACAUUUUGGGCAACUGGGUUUCGGACAUUUUGGGCAACUGGGUCUCGGACAUUUUGGGCAUCUGGGUGCUCGCCAGCAACAUUUAACACAACUUGAGCAUCUGGGUCUCCAGCAUUCUGCGCACCUGGGACCCCACGAGCAUUUUAUGCACCUGGGUCUUAAACAUUCUGGGCAUUUAGGUCGCCACAGUUUGAACCUACAGCACUUGUUGGAAUCAGUCUUAGACCUCGGUUUUAGACACAGAUUCUGCCGGAUCUUUUUGAGACGGAUUUCUGUGGUUAAAUUCUCCAUUUCAUGAAUAAACCUGCAGAGAUGGCGGAUGUAAUCA